GACGAACGCUGGCGGCGUGCUUAACACAUGCAAGUCGAACGGAAAGGCCCUGCUUGCAGGGUGCUCGAGUGGCGAACGGGUGAGUAACACGUGGGUGAUCUGCCCCUUACUUUGGGAUAAGCCUGGGAAACUGGGUCUAAUACCGGAUAGGACCAUGCUGUAGGUGGUGUGGUGGAAAGAUUAGUUUCGGUAAGGGAUGAGCUCGCGGCCUAUCAGCUUGUUGGUGGGGUAAUGGCCUACCAAGGCGUCGACGGGUAGCCGGCCUGAGAGGGUGGACGGCCACAUUGGGACUGAGAUACGGCCCAGACUCCGACGGGAGGCAGCAGUGGGGAAUAUUGCACAAUGGGCGCAAGCCUGAUGCAGCGACGCCGCGUGGGGGAUGACGGCCUUCGGGUUGUAAACUCCUUUCAGCCAUGACGAAGCCCUUGUGGUGACGGUAGUGGUAGAAGAAGCACCGGCUAACUACGUG
rnacentral:rRNA from 1 species